AACGCUGGCGGCAGGCUUAACACAUGCAAGUCGAGCGGGGAAAGGUAGCUUGCUACCUGACCUAGCGGCGGACGGGUGAGUAAUGCUUAGGAAUCUGCCUAUUAGUGGGGGACAACAUUCCGAAAGGAAUGCUAAUACCGCAUACGCCCUACGGGGGAAAGCAGGGGAUCUUCGGACCUUGCGCUAAUAGAUGAGCCUAAGCCAGAUUAGCUAGUUGGUGGGGUAAAGGCCUACCAAGGCGACGAUCUGUAGCGGGUCUGAGAGGAUGAUCCGCCACACUGGGACUGAGACACGGCCCAGACUCCUACGGGAGGCAGCAGUGGGGAAUAUUGGACAAUGGGCGAAAGCCUGAUCCAGCCAUGCCGCGUGUGUGAAGAAGGCCUUUUGGUUGUAAAGCACUUUAAGCGAGGAGGAGGCUACUUAGAUUAAUACUCUAGGAUAGUGGACGUUACUCGCAGAAUAAGCACCGGCUAACUCUGUGCCAGCAGCCGCGGUAAUACAGAGGGUGCGAGCGUUAAUCGGAUUUACUGGGCGUAAAGCGUGCGUAGGCGGCUUUUUAAGUCGGAUGUGAAAUCCCUGAGCUUAACUUAGGAAUUGCAUUCGAUACUGGGAAGCUAGAGUAUGGGAGAGGAUGGUAGAAUUCCAGGUGUAGCGGUGAAAUGCGUAGAGAUCUGGA
rnacentral:rRNA from 1 species